UCUUCCCUCUGGCGGCGUGCCUAAUACAUGCAAGUCGAGCGAACGGACGAGAAGCUUGCUUCUCUGAUGUUAGCGGCGGACGGGUGAGUAACACGUGGAUAACCUACCUAUAAGACUGGGAUAACUUCGGGAAACCGGAGCUAAUACCGGAUAAUAUUUUGAACCGCAUGGUUCAAAAGUGAAAGACGGUCUUGCUGUCACUUAUAGAUGUAUCCGCGCUGCAUUAGCUAGUUGGUAAGGUAACGGCUUACCAAGGCAACGAUGCAUAGCCGACCUGAGAGGGUGAUCGGCCACACUGGAACUGAGACACGGUCCAGACUCCUACGGGAGGCAGCAGUAGGGAAUCUUCCGCAAUGGGCGAAAGCCUGACGGAGCAACGCCGCGUGAGUGAUGAAGGUCUUCGGAUCGUAAAACUCUGUUAUUAGGGAAGAACAUAUGUGUAAGUAACUGUGCACAUCUUGACGGUACCUAAUCAGAAAGCCACGGCUAACUACGUG
rnacentral:rRNA from 1 species